UUUCGCAAUGCCCGAAAGGGUGACGAAGCGACGCCGCGUGCGGGAAGAAGGCCUUCGGGUUGUAAACCGCUGUCGGGAGUUAAGAAAUGUAAGGAUGUUAAUAGCAUCUUUGCUUGACUAAGGCUCCGGAGGAAGCCACGGCUAACUCUGUGCCAGCAGCCGCGGUAAUACAGAGGCGGCGAGCGUUGUUCGGAAUUAUUGGGCGUAAAGAGCACGUAGGCGGCUAUGUAAGACGGCUGUGAAAGCCUUCCGCUCAACGGGAGAACAGCAUCCGAUACUGCAUGGCUUGAGUGCGGGAGGGGAGAGUGGAACUUCUGGUGGGGCGGUGAAAUGCGUAGAUAUCAGAAGGAACGCCGGCGGCGAAAGCGGCUCUCUGGCCCAUAACUGACGCUGAGUGUGCGAAAGCUAGGGGAGCAAACGGGAUUAGAUACCCCGGUAGUCCUAGCCGUAAACGAUGGGCACUAAGUAGAGGGGUUUUAAUCUC
rnacentral:rRNA from 1 species